AGAAGAGGUGAGUGAGUUUCGCAAGGUAUGCUACCCUUCCUUUUUUGGCGGUUUUACCUCGUAGUAACUUUCCAGAAAAACGAAAGGGUUAUGAUGAGAGAUUAUGUCAUACCCUGGCACAUGCUUUGUCCAAUGGACCAUGGAAGGGACUUUACUUGGCUGACGAGGACGCACCUCACCAGUAUCAGAGCAACAGCUGUGGGGUGUUUAUGCUGAUGUACGCAAUGUAUUCUACCCUCAAAAGCAAUAUGAUUUCAGUGAGGGGGACAUGCUCUCUAUCAGGAGGUGGUGGUUGGACAGCUGUUGGAGACCUUUAUGCUUGAAAGCCCUGCAGAACUAGCUGGCUCCUUCUCACCCUCUCCAUCUCCCCAUCUCAGUCACACCUUCCAAUCACUAAGCAGUGAAAGCCCUGCAGGACUAGCUGGCACACCAAGCUCACCCUCCAUCUCCCCAUCUCAGCCACACGCUCCAAUCUGGCACAACAGAGGACAGGCCAUUCUUACCACCCGAAGUCCUUCAGCAAAUUGUACAAGAGACGCUGAGACUGGACAUGGCGAUGCUUGGCGUGUUCAACAGGGUUUCAAACACAUUCCGAGAACUAAUCAAGCCUCUCCAUCCUUCCAUAUAUAUAAAUGACAGUUUGGCAGGGGACAUUAAGCUUAAUAAAGACAAUCUCAUAUACAUAACGGUUAGAAAGAUUUACAACAAUGCAGGCUGUGGCAGUGGCCUUGCGCUACGCCUCAAA